rnacentral:rRNA from 1 species
UACGGGGGGAGCAAGCGUUGUUCGGAUUUACUGGGCGUAAAGGGCGCGUAGGCGGCCACCGCAAGUCAGUUGUGAAAUCUCUGGGCUUAACCCAGAAAGGUCAACUGAUACUGCGGGGCUAGAGUGCAGAAGGGGCAACUGGAAUUCUCGGUGUAGCGGUGAAAUGCGUAGAUAUCGAGAGGAACACCUGCGGCGAAGGCGGGUUGCUGGGCUGAACACGUGACGCUGGAAGCGCGAAAGCUAGGGGAGCGAACGGG